AUGCUCCAGUUCCUGCUUGGAUUUACAUUGGGCAAAGUGGUUGGAAUGCAUCUGGCUCAGAACUAGGACAUACCAAACCUGGCUAAAAAACUUCAAGAAAUUAAAAAGGACUUGGAUGCUAAGAAGAAACCCCCUAGUUCAUGAGGCUGCCUCCAGCACUGCCUUCGGGAUACACUGAUGCUACUGCUCCUGAGGGCCUCCUUUACCAUCUGAACCAAAAGCCUUUGUUUUCAUCUUCAGCCUCAGCGCUCCUCUUCUUUGCUAGACCUGUGUUUUUUGCAAGCAAAAUGGGGCCCCAAUUUGAGAACUACCCUACAUUUCCCACAUACUCACCUCUUCCCAUAUUCCCUUUCCAACUGCACGGGAGGUCCUAAGACUGGAAUUAUGGUGCUAGAUUAGUAAACACGACAUUUAAUGAGUAGUGUCUUCUUUAUUGUUUGUGGUUUUUACUACCUUUUGUCAAGAGAAAAACUGAUGAGUUUUGUGUAGCUGGUCAGAUACAAAUAAUAGUGACUUCACAGUUUAGCAGUUAUAAUGGGUACUUGUUAAACAUUUGAUACUAAAUUAUGUUGCUGCAAAGUAAUUAAAAUUAAUAUCUUAGAGCUAGUUUCUGGUGAAUUAUUCAUUUAUUUUGUACCGUUAGGCAGCUCCAUAGUUGCUAAUUUAACCAAUAAAUAAUUUUGCUAUUCAUUAACUAAUAAACAAUUCUGAGAAUCCUGUCAGAAAUUGGGGAAUGAAAAAAUAUGCAAAAUAAUGGUCUUUGUCCCAGUAGAGUUCAGUCUAUUUAGUGUGCAUGUUUUUCCUUAAUGAUGUAUUUGAUCUGACUUUUUUCCUUCUCAAAAGGACAAUACUUGGGAUUACAGGUAUAUCUGAUAUUAUAUGAUGGAUAAGUGAAAAGUUAUUAAAGGAGAUUUCAUACCUUUUCACAUUAAAAAAGGUAUUUAUAUU